GAUGAACGCUAGCGGCAGGCCUAACACAUGCAAGUCGAGGGAGAAGCCUUUCGGGGCAGAAACCGGCGCACGGGUGCGUAACGCGUAUGCAACCUACCUUUCGCAGGGGGAUAGCCCGAAGAAAUUUGGAUUAAUACCCCAUAAUAUUGUUGGAUGGCAUCAUCUGAUAAUUAAAACUGCGGUGGUGAAAGAUGGGCAUGCGUCCUAUUAGCUAGUUGGAGUGGUAACGGCACCCCAAGGCUACGAUAGGUAGGGGUCCUGAGAGGGAGAUCCCCCACACUGGUACUGAGACAGGGACCAGACUCCUACGGGAGGCAGCAGUGAGGAAUAUUGGUCAAUGGUCGGAAGACUGAACCAGCCAUGCCGCGUGCAGGAAGAAUGCCUUAUGGGUUGUAAACUGCUUUUAUAUGGGAAGAAUAAGGUGUACGUGUACAUUGAUGACGGUACCAUAUGAAUAAGCAUCGGCUAACUCCGUG
rnacentral:rRNA from 1 species